UACAGAGGGUGCGAGCGUUAAUCGGAAUUACUGGGCGUAAAGCGUGUGUAGGUGGUUAGGUAAGUUAGAUGUGAAAUCCCCGGGCUCAACCUGGGAAUUGCGUUUAAAACUGCUUGGCUAGAGUAUUGUAGAGGAUAGUGGAAUUUCCAGUGUAGCGGUGAAAUGCGUAGAUAUUGGAAGGAACACCAGUGGCGAAGGCGACUAUCUGGGCACAUACUGACACUGAGACACGAAAGCAUGGGGAGCAAACAGG
rnacentral:rRNA from 1 species